rnacentral:rRNA from 1 species
AGUGAACGCUGGCGGUAGGCCUAACACAUGCAAGUCGAACGGCAGCACAGGAGAGCUUGCUCUCUGGGUGGCGAGUGGCGGACGGGUGAGGAAUACAUCGGAAUCUACUCUGUCGUGGGGGAUAACGUAGGGAAACUUACGCUAAUACCGCAUACGACCUACGGGUGAAAGCAGGGGAUCUUCGGACCUCGCGCGAUUGAAUGAGCCGAUGUCGGAUUAGCUAGUUGGCGGGGUAAAGGCCCACCAAGGCGACGAUCCGUAGCUGGUCUGAGGGGAUGAUCAGCCACACUGGAACUGAGACACGGUCCAGACUCCUACGGGAGGCAGCAGUGGGGAAUAUUGGACAAUGGGCGCAAGCCUGAUCCAGCCAUACCGCGUGGGUGAAGAAGGCCUUCGGGUUGUAAAGCCCUUUUGUUGGGAAAGAAAUCCAGCUGGUUAAUACCCGGUUGGGAUGACGGUACCCAAAGAAUAAGCACCGGCUAACUUCGUGCCAGCCGCCGCCGUAA